AGUGGAUCGUCAUAAAGAAGAAAAGCAUUCCCAUCUCGAAGAGUCAGGAUGCACAUAAGAAAGGAAGGAUGAGCAAGAAUGUGGAGGAUUUUUCAUCUCUUCAUUUUUCCUAACCCGCAUGGACAGAAGAGAGAAGACUGUUGCAAGGCCAAGAAACUUGCAAAACAAGCCUACUUGCGUAAGUGAUAUAUUCAUAUGAGAACGGACCCAUGUAACUCGCAAAGUAUAGCCAAAACUUAAGGGCCAUUCAAAAUAAAUGUUGACACAAGUUAAUGAUAUAAUAUGAAUACAAAGUGACUUAUAUUUAGUAAGCAGAAUGGACAAAAUGAGAAUACAUAAAUAGGGAAGAAAAAUGUUUGCAAGCUUUGAGAAAUUAUUUUGAAUAAAUUAGAAAAGGAAAAGACAGCACAUAUACUUUAUUUCUUCUGAUGAUUAGAAAAUAGAGCAGAUUGCUUCUCAGUCUUUUGGCUAAGAUCAAGUGUAGAAAAUAGAGCAGAAUUAUUACUUUCCUUCUCUAAAUAGCCGAUCAGCUUUUUCUGGCAGCCCAUACCACUGUUCGUUCACAUGAAACUCAAUGCUAAUCAGAAUUUCUAAGUCUUUUCCAAAUGUAUUAAGAGGCAUUCCUAUGGUUUGAGUAUGUCCCCCAAAGUUCAUGUGUUGGAAAUGUAACUGCUAUUGUAAUAGUAUUAAAAGACAGGGCCUUUAAAAGAUUAUAUCAUGAGGGCUUAGCCUGCAGGAAUGGAUUAAUGCUCCUAUUACAGGAGUAAGUUCUAGGGUGGGCUCUUGAUAAAAAGGGUGAGUUCAGCCCAUUUCUCUGUCUCACGUACUUGCUUCCAUCUUCUCCCUUUCUGCUGUGGGAUGAUCCUCACCAGAUGCCAAUUCUAUGCUCUUGGACUUCCCAGUCUCCAAAACUAUGAGCCAAAUAAAC
rnacentral:lncRNA from 10 species